ensembl:lncRNA
CGAUAGUACACACCCUCAUGCACAGCCGUUUUCAUGCUUCACCUUUUGAUUCUCAGAACAGUUUGGAUUCUCUUUAGACGCAGCCCGAACGUUAGCGUUAAUAACACGUCGCCAGUGUCUACAGAUAAGCAAGAGGACGUUGGCAAGCACUCAGUUCAGUUAUGCGAGCCAAAGAAUGCUAGGUGGUUGUGUACGAGAGAGUUUCUAACGAUCAGCAGGAAGAUUGCUGCGCACCCUUAACAAGGUCAAAAGGUCUUUCGACUCACACCCUAAGAGAAAACAAGUCUUCUGUUCUAUAAACAGGCUGUUUAUGAUUGUCCUGGUAAUACCUGAUUCACAUCUGCAACGCCAAGAACUAUGAUUAUGGAAAGUUACUGACUUCUGAGGGAAAUCCUAAUCAUAACCUUCAAAGAAAACCUUAAAUGUUACUCUCUUAGCAUUGCGCAAUGGUCUUAGGAAACUUUGUAUGGCUUACUUAAAAUCUGGGCUUUGUUUUCUUCAUGGGCAAGUGUUAACAGGCUGCGACAGGUGAGCAUCAGAACUGGACCAUGGAGAAAUGGAAGAAAGUGGACUGGUCUGAUGAAUGACGUUUUCUUUUGCAUCACGUGGACGGCCGGAUGCGUGUGUUCGUCGCUUACCUGGGGAAGAGAUGGCAUCAGGAUGCACUAUGGGAAGAAGGCGAGCCGGAAGAGCAGGAUAACGCGCCAUGAGACACUGCAAAAAUUGUUCAGGAACGGUUUGAGGAACAUGACAAAGAGUUCACGGUGUUAUCUCGGCCUCCAGAUUCCCCAGAUCUCAAUCCGAUCGAGCGUCUCUGAGAUGUUCUGGACAAACAAGUCUGAUCCAUGGAGACACCACCUCGAAACUUGCAGUACUUAAAGGAUCUGCUGCUAACGUCUUGGUGCCAGAUACCACAGCACACCUUCAGAGGUCUUGUGGAGUCCAUGCCCUGAUGGGUCAGAACUGUUUUGGCGGCACGAGGCGGACUUCGGUGUAGUUUCCUUUUCCGAAACCCAAAUACUAGUCAAAUGAAAGAACUGAAUGCCCUCAGACUAAAGUGGUCAUCAAAUUUUCAUUCAUAAGAUUCACAAGAUAAAGCACUUUAUAUGAAUUCUACCGUACAGUUAUGUGCUUUUAGUAAAAAAAAAAAAGUCGUCAUUGUGUUGUAAAGACUUCAUGACCUCAAUAGCCAAUAAAACAGAACUUAAAAUCUGACCCACCCACCCCCCCCCCCAACUUUCCAUUAAAGUCCAAAAUCAUUGCCAAAUGUCUGAGUCCACUAUUUUGCAUUCUUCGCUAAUUUAAUACAAUAUUAUUGAGAAUCUUUGAAAUACAGUAUUUACAGAGUUUCUUAGUAUCUGGUACGUCCCCCCAAUUUUUCAUUCAUUUAUUUAUUUAUUUUAACUUUACUGACAGUGUGCAUUUGAGCUGCCAUGGACUCUACCAGAUUGUGGGGGGGGGAAAACCCUCGUGAUCUAUUUAAGAGCAAAUCCAUCAGUGUCUUCUGAGCACAUACGUCAAUAGAAGAGAUUAGACAUGAGGAAAAAUCUGACGUUUUAUAUAAAGGUAUAUUAACAUGGUCAAUAUCACACUUUUGCACACUUUUAAAAAUAGCGCAGAAUCUGGAAUAUUAAAUACAGUAUUCAAGAUAUUGACCAUUUACUUUCUUUGUUUAAAAUAUUUUAAAAAUUCUAAAAAAAAAAAAAAAAAAAAAACCUUUCUGUUUAUUUCCAAUUUGAAUUUUUUUUGUUUU